CCAGAAGAUCCCAGAGGACGCAAUUCUGGCUGUGCUGGGAAGUGCUAAAGUUCCCUUCAUAUGUCACUCUGGAGAAGGAGCAGCAAAGCAGCCAUGUUGAGUUCCUCUCUCAACAUUUGGCAUCAUGGACGAUGAGAUGGAGUCUUUUAUGUUGCUCAGCAAACUCCUGUGCUCAAGCAAUCUUCCCACCUCGGCCACUCAACGUAUCGGGAUUACAGGCAUGAACCACUGCACUCAGCCUUAUUUGGUGUCUUUUAAAAUAAAUAUUCUAAGAAUCAUGUAAAGAUACUUCACUGAUUCCA